rnacentral:rRNA from 2 species
GAUUUUGGUCGCCAACGAGUGGCGGACGGGUGAGUAACACGUAGGUAACCUGCCCAGAAGCGGGGGACAACAUUUGGAAACAGAUGCUAAUACCGCAUAACAGCGUUGUUCGCAUGAACAACGCUUAAAAGAUGGCUUCUCGCUAUCACUUCUGGAUGGACCUGCGGUGCAUUAGCUUGUUGGUGGGGUAACGGCCUACCAAGGCGAUGAUGCAUAGCCGAGUUGAGAGACUGAUCGGCCACAAUGGGACUGAGACACGGCCCAUACUCCUACGGGAGGCAGCAGUAGGGAAUCUUCCACAAUGGGCGCAAGCCUGAUGGAGCAACACCGCGUGAGUGAAGAAGGGUUUCGGCUCGUAAAGCUCUGUUGUUAAAGAAGAACACGUAUGAGAGUAACUGUUCAUACGUUGACGGUAUUUAACCAGAAAGUCACGGCUAACUACGUGCCAGCAGCCGCGGUAAUACGUAGGUGGCAAGCGUUAUCCGGAUUUAUUGGGCGUAAAGAGAGUGCAGGCGGUUUUCUAAGUCUGAUGUGAAAGCCUUCGGCUUAACCGGAGAAGUGCAUCGGAAACUGGAUAACUUGAGUGCAGAAGAGGGUAGUGGAACUCCAUGUGUAGCGGUGGAAUGCGUAGAUAUAUGGAAGAACACCAGUGGCGAAGGCGGCUACCUGGUCUGCAACUGACGCUGAGACUCGAAAGCAUGGGUAGCGAACAGGAUUAGAUACCCUGGUAGUCCAUGCCGUAAACGAUGAGUGCUAGGUGUUGGAGGGUUUCCGCCCUUCAGUGCCGGAGCUAACGCAUUAAGCACUCCGCCUGGGGAGUACGACCGCAAGGUUGAAACUCAAAGGAAUUGACGGGGGCCCGCACAAGCGGUGGAGCAUGUGGUUUAAUUCGAAGCUACGCGAAGAACCUUACCAGGUCUUGACAUCUUGCGCCAACCCUAGAGAUAGGGCGUUUCCUUCGGGAACGCAAUGACAGGUGGUGCAUGGUCGUCGUCAGCUCGUGUCGUGAGAUGUUGGGUUAAGUCCCGCAACGAGCGCAACCCUUGUUACUAGUUGCCAGCAUUAAGUUGGGCACUCUAGUGAGACUGCCGGUGACAAACCGGAGGAAGGUGGGGACGACGUCAGAUCAUCAUGCCCCUUAUGACCUGGGCUACACACGUGCUACAAUGGACGGUACAACGAGUCGCGAACUCGCGAGGGCAAGCAAAUCUCUUAAAACCGUUCUCAGUUCGGACUGCAGGCUGCAACUCGCCUGCACGAAGUCGGAAUCGCUAGUAAUCGCGGAUCAGCAUGCCGCGGUGAAUACGUUCCCGGGCCUUGUACACACCGCCCGUCACACCAUGAGAG